UACGUAGGGUGCGAGCGUUAAUCGGAAUUACUGGGCGUAAAGCGUGCGCAGGCGGUUGGUUAAGUCUGAUGUGAAAGCCCCGGGCUCAACCUGGGAAUGGCAUUGGAAACUGUCCAGCUGGAGUGUGGCAGAGGGGGGUGGAAUUCCGCGUGUAGCAGUGAAAUGCGUAGAGAUGCGGAGGAACACCGAUGGCGAAGGCAGCCCCCUGGGCCAACACUGACGCUCAGGCACGAAAGCGUGGGGAGCGAACAGG
rnacentral:rRNA from 1 species